rnacentral:lncRNA from 1 species
GAGAUCUAAGGAAGAGGAAGGAUUUAGCCAGGUGAAGAGGGUGGGGAAAAUGUUACAAGCACGUGGACCCACUCCAAAAUAAGGGCGAGCAUGGUACUUUGGGGAAUUGAGAGAAAUCCAUAUGGCUCUGCAGGAAGGAUCAGAGGAGACUAGCUGUGCUAGGUACUUACACCUCCCUUCAAGGAAGGACUUGGUGUCCAGCUGCACAGUGUGCGGUCAGCAGUCUACAGCUGUUCAGCUCCUUCAGGUGUUGAUCCUUAAUGAAAAUCUUGCUCCUUAAACUCUGUGUUAGAAUCAGCUCCUGGUGGAUCCAACUCCAACAGCAGAGGAACAGGAAGACUUUGUGUCAUGUGUGAUAAUAUCAUGAGGUUUCUCCUCAGAUGUGAAGGAGGUGAGGGUCCCUGUAGCCUAAUAGGGAUGGACUACAAGUCCAGUGAGCGAGAGAGCAACUUUAGAGUCUUCACUGAAGGAUCUGCAGGAACUUCUAGAACAAAAAACCCUAACCUAUUGUGAUAAGAAUCAGAAGAGUGGUUGCCUCUGGAAGGGAGAUUGACUGGAAACGGGCUUGAAGAUCUUUUCUAGAGUGAAUGUGGUGACGACCAGGCAGAGGGUCUAUACUGAUAGUCAUCAUCAAUGACAACUGUCUGCAUCAAUGACAUGGCAACUUCCUCUCCAGAGUCAUGGUGGCGAGACACAAAUGACUCUAUUUCAUUUGAUGGUCCCCCUAUACUGACCCAAUCAGCAGGAAGUAGUCAGAAAGACAAGGAUGACCCUGUUCCUCUUAUAGCGUAUGAUUAUGCUGGGUUACAAUUGACAGUGAGGAGUUGUCGGCGCCACUCACAUGAACAGUCAUCUUUCCUAUACAUAUUAAAGAUUUUGUUCUUGUUAUCUUUAAACUAAAUCAGGUAUAACGCAUUGCUCUGGUCUCUGAUGCUUAUCCAGUAAAACAGAAGAUUAUCAGGAACUGAGACCAGAUGUCUGCCCCACCUGGAGACCAGCCUCUUAUAUAACUGGCUUGUAGUCUUUGUUCUGUGAGAUGGUUUUUUCAGACAUUAGUCAGCCAUCUUCCCCCUUGCUGGCAAGCUGCAAUAAAACCCUUUCUCUCCUACCACCUUGCUUCUCCACUAUUGGUGUGUCUUAAGGCUGGCAGAUGACCCACCCUGGGCAGUAACAAAUUGAAUUUCCACACCAUGACUUUUUCCAGGGACCCGAUUUUCUUGGAGGAAGAUAAAAGAGGGAUACGCUUGUGCUUUCCAUAAAACUGAAACGUACUGAAAUGUUUUAAAGUAAAUUUAAAAUUGACAUUUUAUAUUUUUACUAUCACAAUUAUUGAUUUUUGUUUUUUACUUUUUUAUUUAUUGGCCUAUUAAAAUUGAUUUCUAUUUCCUCUUU